UAAGUGGAAUUUCAGUAUUGACUUUUGCUAAUGGAGCUUAUAGAAAGCAAAGCACUGAAAAUGCUUAGAUGGAUGCAAGCAUCCCAUAAACAUAAA
rnacentral:miRNA from 1 species